rnacentral:tRNA from 1 species
GCGGGUAUAGUAUAGUGGUUACUAUGCGUCCUUGCCAAGGACGAGCCACGGGUUCGAAUCCCGUUACCCGCUCCA